AGUAAGGUGACCUCUCUGGCCCCAGCCCGUGCACCAUCAGGUACCCUUUCUCCUGAUUUCAGCCUUUUCUGUUCAACUGGCUCUUUCCACAUAAACCUAAAGAGAACUCUCUGCCUAUAUGGCUGAUUCUGAACCUGGAGAAAGAAACUAUGACAACAUGUUGAAAAUGCUGUCAGACCUGAAUAAAGACUUGGAAAAGCUACUGGAAGAGAUGGAGAAGAUCUCAGUGCAAGCCACAUGGAUGGCCUACGACAUGGUGGUGAUGCGCACCAACCCCACGCUGGCAGAGUCCAUGCGCCGACUGGAGGAUGCCUUCCUCAACUGCAAGGAGGAGAUGGAGAAGAACUGGCAAGAGCUGCUCAAUGAGACCAAGCACAAACAAUAGGCCCCUGCCCACCCACGGCCGCCACGCUGCCGUCUGCCGGAGCGGAGGGGCCCUGGGGCACGGAGCCUCCUCUGCUGGCAGAGCAACAGCAACCGAAAUAUAUAGUUGUAUGAAUAGUACUUGUUUCUCAAUAAACUUAUUUUUAAGGACAACCGAGGACCCCUUUCUGUCCUACCCAGCAGCUUUCCAAACCUUGCAAACAAAAAAUGAGAAUUAUAAGAUGCAGAUGCCUUCAAUGAAUUAAAUAUAUUUAGUGCCAGCAGCACCGAGCAGAAUAAAAAGCAAAAAUGGGGCUGGAUAGGGACAAACCAGGUCAGAUGGUGGGACGGGCAGCAGUAGUCAGUCAGAUUUAUUUGCCUUCCUGUGGUGGAUUCCAAAAUAGGUAAAGGGCAACAUCAUUCAUUCAUCCUGGGCACUGUCCGAGGUGCUCACAAAUGUGACCGUAUGUUCUCACAAGUCUCCUGAGUGACAGAUGGUCGUUAUCCCCAUUUCACAGAGGAGAAGAAUGAAGGUAACGUCGAAGUCUGUGGCUCAUGGGAAAGAACUCGGGAGAAGCUGGGCCUCGUGUAAGAACCGGCGUUGGUGGGAGGUUCCAGCGGCAAGUGCCAUCGUCCUUAGGACUGUCCUGCGUCUCAGCCAACCUGCCUCUGCCUGCGGACCCUCCGACCCCCAGGCCUCCUGCACAGCGUCCCAGCUUGGAGCCGGGGCGCCUCAGGCUGUCGGGGCAGAGUUACCCACCGGGAGAUGUUAUCUGCAGCUUUAGCAACACGAUGCAGCCGAAGAGAUUAAGAAACCCAANNNNNNNNNNNNNNNNNNNNNNNCGGGGGCGGGGGAGGGGGGGGCAGGAGAGGCGCAGGCCGUGGGGCCAACCCUGCAGGCUUGUCUCAGAUGGAGGAGGGCACGCAUCCUCUCGCUAAGCUCUGCCCCGCAACGUGCACCUCCUGUCACCUGGGGGAGAGGGGGUGGACUGGAACUUGCACUGUUCUCUCCCAGAAUGCAUGAGGGCCUGGGAGGGACCAGGCCUAAAGCCACUCCCUUCCUCCAGCAGCCUCUGGAAGUCCCUCAUCCUGAGCUCAGAAGAGGCAGGAUGGAGUUUUCAAAAGCAAUGUUCUAAGCUGACAAGAGGAAAAAAAUGAACAAAAUCAAACCCAAAGUUGUAUUUCCUUAUUGGCCUGAUUAUCCCAAUCUGCCUGCCCUCUCCAGCGCCUGCUGGGCUUCCCCUGCACCCCAAGGGCACCUGCCGGCUCGGAUUCCUCUCAUGCCCCCAGAAAGCCUGAGCCCAGCCUGCCUCAGCUCCAAUGCCACAGCAGCCAGCCCCCAGGGGCCCUCCAAGACCUCCGCUGACCCCGUGCGUCGCCCUGGCUCCUGGCUGCCCAUCCCAUCCCCUGGCCCUCCCCCGUCUUUGCCAAACCACUGCAGUCCGCUGUCCUCCAUGGAAGUCAACCCCUCACAGGCCAGCACGUAGACACCUGUGCGGGCCGUGCACCUGGCCUGCCUUGGCCUGUUCCGCAGGUACGAGCCACGUCUUGUCCACCUGCUCCUCACUUAACCCUAGGCACAUGGGGCCCAGACGUGAACAGGAGCCAGGAGUCUCUGGGACAAAGGCGCCCCCCCCCAACAUGUAUUCGUUUCUUUUUCUAGGACACAGGACCUCUCCCUGACUCGGACACUGAGGAGACGGCCAAGAAGCAUCCCUGGCACCCAGCCCGGGUUCCGCUGGACCUCAGGUGCGUCACCCAUCUGGUGGCUUCCCAGCUCCCCAGAGCGUAUUAGAUUGACUGUUAGAGGGUGGAAGGCGGGCCCAAGCUUUAAGGUGGACCUCAAGUUGGUGGCAGGCUUUAUGGACAUUGUACCUAUACCCGUCCCCGUCCCAGGCUCUGUCUCUUGGUUGUUUGGGGUCCAAAGGCCCUGAAAAGA
ensembl:lncRNA